rnacentral:rRNA from 1 species
AAGACCUUGCGCUUUUGGAGCGGCCGAUGCCUGAUUAGCUUGUUGGUAAGGUAAAAGCUUACCAAGGCUUCGAUCAGUAGCUGGUCUGAGAGGACGACCAGCCACACUGGGACUGAGACACGGCCCAGACUCCUACGGGAGGCAGCAGUGGGGAAUUUUGGACAAUGGGGGCAACCCUGAUCCAGCCAUGCCGCGUGAGUGAAGAAGGCCUUCGGGUUGUAAAGCUCUUUCAGCCGGAACGAAACGGUUACGGUUAACACCCGUGACUACUGACGGUACCGGAAGAAGAAGCACCGGCUAACUACGUGCCAGCAGCCGCGGUAAUACGUAGGGUGCGAGCGUUAAUCGGAAUUACUGGGCGUAAAGCGUGCGCAGGUGGUUUUGUAAGUCAGAUGUGAAAGCCCCGGGCUCAACCUGGGAACU